rnacentral:lncRNA from 1 species
UUAAGUGCUCCUCUGCAAAAUCCAAGUCAAUCUCUAGCUUCUGUCUCAAAAUCUGUGCAUAUCCUUGUGUCAAAAUCUUCCUCCUUAUUUAUAGCUAUAGGUUCCCCUUAAGUCAGUCCCUUAACCAAAUCCAAGUUAGAGUAGAAAUCUGCUCUGUUUCUCCUUAGCCUGGCCAAACUCGGCAACUGAAUUUGCUUCCCAGCGCCCCGAUGCUAGGAUUGUAUUGAAAAGGAGCGCCCUGGUGCUGGCCAUGCCUCCUUAAUUACGCUUUUGCCAUUAAUGAUGUUGAAAUUCCCUACUUGCCCCUGUUUUGACCUAAUAUGCAAAAUAACAAAUAAACCAAUAAAAAUGUCCUAAAAUAUUUUAAACAAACAAAUUAUUAAGUCUAAGAAAUACCUAAUUCAUGUGUAUAUUAUCCACUCAUCAAAUACCCCCAAACUUGAACACUUGCUUGUCCUCAAGUAAUGCGAACAACUAAAACAAAUAUGAAUGUAAUAACUCCCUACAUGAACAACAACUCAAGCAUGAUUCCACAUUAACAGCCUCAAUCAGCCUCAAAGAUCCUUAAUUCAACUAAAAUAAAUGUUUAAAAUCAAACAUUAGCUACACUUGUGAUGUGACGCCCCCAAAAUAGGUAUACACAACCCAUUCUAAAUCGCCAAAUACAUAGUACAGAAUUCAAAUACAAACUUAAUUAUACAACUGUCGUGUAAAAUACGACAAAAUAUAAGCUGAGAGUUUUAACAUGAAUAUUGUCUCGUAG